rnacentral:antisense_RNA from 1 species
GAUAGCCUAAGAUCUUGGCUGGAUUCAGGGUGGGGUUGGUGAUGAUCCGCACAUCUCCACCGCCAGGAGCCCAAGAGUCAUAGACUCCACCAAAUACACAAGCUUUUAGCACCAGCAACAGCGCUCCACAUCCCAGCAGGACCAAGUGGAUACCGAUGAUAGUGGUCAUCUUGUUCUUAUCUUUCCA